GAAGGACAGGUGAGGGCAUUAGUGCCUCUUUGUUUGAGGUCUGGUUGUGUGGCAGGAUUGCUGUGUCCAUGCAGUUGUGGUGUGACAUUCCUGAGUGAUCCAGAUUGAGCAUGCUCUGUAGCCCUGUGCUGAAGAGGCAGUGGGACGACCUGCAGGGAGUAGUUGUGGGAUAUGCACCUCUCCUUGCAUGCAGUGCGCAUUUUGUGAAUGGACAGCCUACUCCCGAGUAUCCCAACCCUGUACUUGCUGUACAAGUGCCAGGAGCAGCUCGGAGGCUGUCAAAAGCCACCCAAAAAAAUAGUAUACAGAUGCAGAUUUAGUGUGCAGGACGCCUCUGGCUCCACCUCCAGCACUGAUGAUGCAGAAGAGACUCAACAGUGUAUUGUUGACAGUGAGAGUCCUGCGCAAUCCCCACUUCCUGGAUGCCAGCUAGAAAGGGAAUAUAAGGAGGAGCAGAGCACUGAAAAGGAGAAGAAAUUAAAGGAUCCAUGUCCGACAAGGGGAUAGUCAGACGGUGUGGUAUCAUCCUGCUACUAGAGCAAAUUAUAGACAGUGGCUAUUUGCAAAGAGGGGAUGGCAUAAUGGCUGAUAAGGGCUUUUUGAUCGAGGAAGAGAUGUGAGCAGUCGGACUGCCGUUAAACCAGCCACCAUUUUCAAGAUCUAAGAGGUAAAUGCCAGCUGGAGAUGUGCUGGUGACAAAGCGCAUUGCAAAGCACAGGGUGCAAGUGGAGAGGGCCAUUGCUAAAAUAAAGACAUUACUACCGCUUUAA